UCUGUGUGAGCGUGUUGUUCAGAACAUCGGUGGGUUUCUUCUUCCCGCUGGACAUUGGUUCAUCUGCCGGUUGCUACAGAAACUGACUGAAAGACAUCAACAGAUUGUGGUGGACCUUCUCGUUUCCCAGCAGGUGAACCCUCGUGGCCGCUACUUCCCGUUUCCUGCAGAAUGUUUUCUUCUUUCAGGUCGACGUCAGCAUGAGCUCUCAGACGACUCCCGGACCUUUGGUUCAAACAUCAACAGAAAGUGCUGCUACUUUUUCGGACCUCGUCACAAAGAUCGGGAGAAAGGACAUCUACAGCAGCAGUGAAGAUUUUGCAAUCUUGAUCGGAGGGAUUGUGAGUGUCGUCCUGAUCCUGUUCCUCUGCACCAUCGCCGUGCUGCUGUGGUGUCUGUCCAGACAAAAAGGCUCGUAUGAGACGGGCGAGACGGAGGACGAUGAGGACGACGACGAAGACGAGUCCUCUGACCUGCAGUCCAAACAACCCCUGAAGGACAAGGAGGACGACUGAGUCUGCAGACUUGUUUCAUGGAGGAAACAAGGAUGAUGGAGAGGAAAUGUUUAUUUUUUUCAUAAUUAGUGCAUAUUGUAAAAAAGAACAAAUAUUUUUCAGCUUUCCUUUUUUUCAUUGCAAGUUGGUGAUGUCAGUAAGCUUCUGCCCUUAAAGAAAAAGUUCCCUGACAUCUGUGAUAUCAGUCUCCACCAGGUCUUUAGCUGUGUUCAUAAUCAGCUGUUGGAGUCAAACUCAUCCCUCCUCCAGCAUGUGUUUAAUGUAAAACCAGAGCUGCAGUUUUGUGCUUUUUAUUAGGAAAAAAAUCAGCGUGAUGUAAAAGAAAAAUAAUGUAAAGAUGAAGAUGUAAACCCUGGUUAAAUGUAUUCUACCGUUGGUACAGUGGUUCAAUCAAAUACAUAAAAGUAAAUCAGUAUCACAAUCGUUAAAUGUUUGUGUUGAACCAAUGUCUAUAAAAUUCUGCAGCUUCUCAAAAUCAUAAACAUCGUUGUGAUCAAAGAUCACGCUGUCCCAGAAACUAUGACGCUGUGACGUGUACAUGAACACAGAGCGCAAUUUUUUUUUUUUGAUCAAAUUUUUAUUUUAUUUUCAUUCAAACAGAAAACAAACAAUGAUGCACAGGCACUGAAUAUAUUGUUACAUCAAUCCCCCCACCCCCACUCUACCCACUUGGACACACACAUAAAAUGAAAUAAACUAUUAAAAGACCAGGGCAAUUAUUUGACGUCCGUAUAUGAAAUUAAAAUAAAAUCGAGACAGGGCGGCUAAAGCAAGUAAAAAAAAAAAGAAAAAAAAAAAAGAGAGAGAGACUCGCGGACUUGUGAAACAGUUAAUAUAUAUCCUCACGGUGCUAAGCAAGUUAAGUCAAAUACACAACAAAAAAAAACACACGAGGAUCAAAGCAAGCGCUUCAGUGCUUCAGCUGUGGUGAGCCACAUAUUCACAUUAGCCUCUUUGGCCCCAUUUAUACGAGCUGUUGAUAACUCCAUGUAAGUAACAUCAAGAAAAGUCAAGAUCCAUUGUUUGAUGGACAAAGUAUGAGGGGGCUUCCAACGUACUGCUAUCAUUUUCUUAGCAGCUGUUAGACCUGCUAAUAUGACCCGUUUCUGACGUUCAGGGACUGGAAGUGCGUAAAUAUCAUUCAGUAAUAACACUGGUAUGGUCACAGGUAAUGUGUCUGAUAUGAGAGUCGUCAGCUCAGCGGCCACGCCCUGCCAAAAUCGAGCGACGGGGGAGCACUCCCACACCAUGUGGAGAAAAGUGCCAGGAGUUUUUAAUGUACACAGCAUGCAUGAGGGAUCACUGAUAACUUUCAUAAAAUGUAGCCUACGAGGGGUCAGGUAGGUCCUAUGCACGAAAUUAUGAUGGAUCUGUUGAUGGUCAGGAUUUCGAGAGGCAAGUUUGAUAUUGGCCCACACCUCAUCCCAGUCAAAAUCCUGAACCAGUCCGGGGACAUCACCCCUCCACAUCCUGUCUACUGGAAGCGUUUUGUAGGAGGCCUCAAGCAUGUAUAGAUACAAAGUGGAUACCAUCCCCCUCGAGGGUCUAUUAGUAAUGACCACCUCGUGAAGUGGAUGUGUAGGUAGCGGGUGCUGCCAAGGUACACCGUGUGCUUUAAGAGACGCUCUCAGCUGCAAAUAAAAAAAAAGGAAGUGCCUGGUAAAUUGAAGUUAUUCUUAAUGUCCUGAAAAGAGCGUAAACCAUCUAAGCUGAAUAUAUCACCCAAAAACUGUAUACCUCCCCUUUCCUACUGAGAAUAGGUGAUAGGUCUCCCCCCGAUCAGCAAGUCCUUAUUAUUGAAAAUUGGUGAUUGUAGGUGCCAUCUACAAGAAAUAUUACAAAUCCUUUCUACCGAGCACCAAACCCGAAUCAGAUGGGACACAAUGGGGCCGCAGCGCAGCUGACACUGCCUCACAGAGACAUUUGCAAAUAAAACAUCUGCCAAAGACCAAGGGUGCACCAUUCUUUCUUCCAUUGCGCGCCAGGAGACCAACGCCUGAGAGUCAAACCAUGUGACCAGGGGUCUGAGAGAGAAAGACCAAUGAUAAAAUUUGAAGUUGGGAACUGCUAAACCUCCAUCUAAUCUCUUGCGCUGGACAGUGGCAGAUCUGAGGCGGGGUCUCUUGCCAUUCCAGAUAAAUCUCGAAACAGCCGCCUGCAGUUUACCCCAGUAUCCAGUAGGGGGAGGGAGGGGGACCAUAGAGCUAACAAAGUUUAUUCUGGGCAAUACAUUCAUUUUGACAAUAGAAAUGCGAGCCUGAAGUGAGUUGGGCAGGCUGGACCAUCUCUCCAAAUCACCCAAGACCUUAUUCAGUGCCUCAGUAUAAUUGUGCUUCACAAUAAGGUGUAAAGAGGGAAAUAUCUCAAUGCCCAAAUAUUUGAAAUGUGGAACCGAGGGAAUAUUAGGAGGUAAAACAGAGUUCCCAGCCACUUUGUUCAAUGGCAGCAGAGCCGACUUCGACCAAUUAAUUUUGAACCCUGAUAGCGAGCCAAAUUCAUCCAACAUUGAUAAAAGGUGGGGGGCAGACUGUAACGGGUCGCCAAGAAAGAUUAAAAUGUUGUCAGCGUAAAGCGCCAGGUGGUGGUGUGUGUUAUGAACAGUUAUGGGCUUAAUAACCGGUGAUAAUCGGAUCAUCUGCACCAGGGGUUCCAGAGACAGAGCAAACAGCGUCGGGCUCAAAGGACAGCCCUGACGAGAUGACCUAGUUACUGUGAACAGAGUUGAGCAAAUGUUACCUGUAAGAACCAUUGCAGAGGGGUUUGAAUAUAAUAGCUGUAACAUUUUUACAAAACCGUCUCCAAAACCCAUUGCCCCCAACACCGACCACAAAAAGGGCCACUCAAGGCGGUCGAACGCCUUCAUCGCGUCAAGGGAUAAAAUAGCUGCCGGAUGUUUGAUGUCUGUUGCGGCGUCGAUUACGUGCAACAGUCGGCGGACAUUGUCAGAGGCUAGACGCGAUUUCAUAAAGCCUGUCUGGUCACAUUGAACCAGUGAUGAGACAUGCGGUUGCAGACGUCGAGAGAGAGCCUUGGCAUAAAUCUUUACAUCGGCGUUCAACAGACUAAGGGGCCUGUAAUUACCACAUUCCGUCGGGUUUUUAUCCUUUUUCAGUAGUAAGGUGAUUACAGCUGUAUUCACAUCCCUAGAAAAAGUGCCCUUCUCCAUCGAAAAAUGGAUCAUACUGAGAAGCAGCGGGCCAAGAAGGUCCCAGAAGGCAGCGUAAAAUUCUGGCGGAACGCCAUCGAGACCAGGUGAUUUGCCCCUUUGCAUACUGAGCACAGCCCUCUUAAGUUCUUCAAGAGAAAAUGGUUUUGCCAACUCAUUUGCCGCCUCCACCGCAAGACGAGGUAACUUUAAUUGGGCCGAAUAAUCGUCACAUUUAUCUUUGUCGAUAAGUAUGUCUGAUUCAUACAGGUCAGAAUAAAACUGCGAAAAGAGUUGUUAAUCUGCAUUGGGUCGAUGGUAAUAGCUCCUGACUGUAAUUUGAUAGAGGAGAUAUCUGAAAACUGCUCAUUUGACCUAAUCUUCAUCGCCAACAGGUGGCUGGGCCUUGACCCAUGAAAAUAAUAACGCUGCCUGGUCCUGUGGAUUAAGAACUCUGAUCGGCGUCUGAGGAUGGCAUUGAUUUCUUUUUUGAUCACCUCACGCUGCAAGACUAUCUGUUCUGAGUAAUUAGCAGACAACACGGAUUCUAGUUUUGUAAGUUUGUUUUCCAAUUCAUGUAAUUUAGAAAUUUGCAUCUUGCGCUGGUUGGAGGAAAACCAUGUGGCAUUACCCCUGAUAAAACCUUUAAUUGAGUCCCAAAGUAUUCUAGGAUCGUCGACUGAACCAACAUUGAACUCCAAGAAUUCCUUAAGUUUUUCUAUAAAUUGUGCCCUAAACUCUUCUUGUCUUAACAGGGUUGUGUUAAGGCGCCAUUUUGGUGCACGAGGGGAAGCGUUGACGAGCACCGAUGAACAAAGCACACCUUUAUGAUCGGAGAGGGCUAUGGGAAGCAGAGAAACAUUGUGAAUAUUAGAAAAGAGUUUAGGGGACGCAAAUAUGUAGUCAAUUCUUGUGUCGAGCAGAGAAAAAGGAGUAGUCCUUGAUUGAUGGAUUAGUCGAACACCAAAGAUCUGUGAGCCCCAAGCUGCUAGCCCACGUCUGUAAAGCUGUGGACGCUAGUUUCUGAUCCCUUGUCUCAGAUUUACUUGACCUGUCAUUGGCUGCACUCCAAACAGCGUUAAAGUCUCCCCCCACAACUAACGAAUAAUCAUUCAGUUCCAGCAUACUAUUUGUCAAGUUUUCGUAAAAGACCCUAUUAAAACAGUUUGGUGCAUACACCGAUACGAAGGCAACUUUCCUGCUGCUAAUUUCUGUCUUCACAAUUGCCAGCCUGCCCUCCUUGUCAGAGCAUGUGUCAUGGAUUUUAACUUUAAAGUUACGUCUGGCUACAACCGCCACACCCUUGGUCUUUGUACCAGACGAGGAGGAAGCUAUCACAUGAUAAUGUUUAUCUGCCAGGCGUCUGACAUCAGCAGCCAAGAGAUGCGUCUCCUGCACCAAUGCAACGUCUAUUCUCCUUCUGCGAAAUAAACUCAAGGUGCUAAUCCUCUUGUGAGGGCUAUUCAGGCCGCCCGCAUUCCAGCUCAAAAUAUUAAGUUCAGGCAUAAUUUAGAAUGAAGCCUCUAUAGCGGAUGCGGACAGAGACAUGCAAACAGCCCCUGCGACCCUCUGAAAUGAUGAACCCAAGCAGAUAUGUAACCCCGGUGGGCAGAAGAGAACCUGGAAACGGGUCAAAAUGAAAUAUAAAAAAAUUGUCCAAAUUGCUAAUAAGAAGACUGCAGAGGCGAGAAGGACUGGCGCAGAGAUAACUGAGCCCCUCACCCCUGUCGAGGAGCUGGCAGUAUCUGUAAAUCGGGGACGGCCGAUGAUGGAGGGGAUUCCUGGGGGGGACUUCAUCAGAGCCGGCCACCUCCCAGGAGGAGCACACCCCUCUUGUCCAAUGUAUUUUUCCUAAUUACGCCUAAUAGCCAGCACUUCAUGCGGGAAAGGAACUGCCUGACGGUCGGUGCGUAAAGUGUGCCUUGCGCUAAAGCACUUCAUGCACAACUUUAUUCGUUUUCCUGGCCACAAACCUACGAGGGUCAUUAAGACGCAGUUCCACCAACUGGCAGGCUUUCCCAACGUUAUUAGAUGCAUCGAUGGGACGCAUGUGCCAAUUACAGCACCAUCCCAAAAUGAGGCUGACUUUAACAGAAAAGGUUUCGACAGCAUCAAUGUCCAAAUGAUGCGAUGCUGCAAAUCUAAUAUCAAACGUGGAGGCGAGAUGGCCAGGCUCUGUGCAUGAUGCCAGGAUGAGAAUUUGCUGGCUAUCUCCUGGGGGAUGGAGGAUAUCCGUGCCUCCCCACGCUCAUUACCCCGUACCCCGAUCCGGAUGCUGGAGCGCAAACACGCUUCAACGUGGCUCACAGCAGAACUCCGGGAGAAACUGAGAUGACUUUUGGGAUUCUCAAGGAGAGGUUUAAGUGCUUGUGCAGGCUGAAGGUCUGCCCAGACAGGGCUGGGAUAGAAUUGUUGCAUGUGCCAUAUUGCACAACACUGCCACAUUGCGCAAUUAAUUGACUCCAGUCAUUGAGGAGCCGGUACCGGCUCAUCCCUUUCAGCAGGUUGACAUGGCAAAUGGUCACAGAGUGCGUGAUCAAAUCCGUCUCAAUCAUAUCAAUUAAAAAAAUACAGUUGA